rnacentral:lncRNA from 1 species
GUGAGCCCGGCGCCCGCUGCGCCGCCACCCCAAUCCCGCGCGAGCUGGCGCCGCCCCCACCCGCUCCUCUUUUCCCCACCUGGCCCUUUUUCUUUUCUGGUGGAGGAGAUGCCGGCGCCCCGUCCCGGGUGCGAGCUGACUCCCCGGAUCUGGGCGGGCGAGAGGCUUCUCCCUCCCCGGGCCCGGGUGGUGAGCGCAGGAGGGAGGACCAGAAGCGGGCUCUGCCUGGGCUUGCCUGGGCUUGUCAGAGCCGGCCUCCUUCCCACAGUGACCGCGCAGAUCUGGGGGGAUUUCGAGAUGUUGCGGGAGUCUUGCAGCCAAGCCCCGGGAAGGAGGGGGCUGGAAGCCCGCGCGACCUGCUCGUCCGGUCCUGGGUGAGCGCAGAGUCGCUAGGAGGAUGGUGUGAGACGCCUCAUUUGUUCACAGAUACUCCUGGAUCCACCCCAUGUUCAAGGUUCUGCAACAGUGGGCCAGACAGACCACUGCUGCCCUCCUGGACUUUCCAGUCCAGUCACGACAACGGAAGAGUCUCACCUGGGGCAGUUUCUGGGGUCUGGUGACCUGGCUCAGCAGCCGGUGCAAGACUGCAGUGGAGAGCAUCCUGAGCGGUCCUCUGACCAGAAGAUUGUCCCUGAGGUCCAGGCCUCCUCUGUCUAACUGGGAAGAUUGUCUCUGUAUCCGAGGAUCCUGGACUCAGGAGGAAGAGGGACCCCCUCCUGGCCACCAGAACUGCCAGACCAGCCCUGGUGCCCGGGGGUCAGCCUCCACAGGCUGACCCUUCCUCGGGUCACUGCCUAGAUUCAGAAAAUGCAGUUCCCUGUGGAAACCAGGGGCCGGGGCUGCAUGGCAGUAGAAGGCGCAUCUGGUCUCGCCUUUCUGAGCUGUCUUUUCCUUGGGGACUGUUGCUGAGCUGGAGGAGGGGCUGGAUGGAGGACUUGGCAGUUCUCUUGUCUUCAUCCUUCUCACACUCCGUUAGUGCUUGUUGAGACCUCUGCUGGGGUUCAGACCGAGCCCCAUCCCCGAGAAUGCACAGGCCCUUCCACCGUCACAGCCCAGUCUUUGCUCUCUGCCACAGCAGUACCAUGAGCCGGGUCUUAAACCAGUGAGCUCCUGAGCCAUCCCCGCCCCUCACACCCGUCUCCUAACGGGCCAGCCCAUCCGAAUGCGGCUCCGUGCUCACGAGACCACAUGUGCCCCUGUGGCUCUGUUUGCACUGUGGAGCUGUCUUUACCUUGGGAAGUCUGCUUCUGUUGUCAGUAUUCGAGGGUCCUCCAGUCUGGGAGUCGAGAGAGGGGGAGCCUUUAUUCAGGCUCCUGCUUGUCCCUGUGCUUUUUGAGGAUGUGGUCACAGCAGAAGAUGCCUUUGGCCCCCAGACCUGCUGGAUCAGAAGCUCCGGAGCGUAGCUGGGAAACUGUACUUUACCAACCUUCCAGGUGACUCUUUCUAAUCUGAUAAACGUGCUCUGCUGGAACUCAUCUUUGGGAUAAAAUUGGAUGUAUUAGGAGUGUUUUUCCCACACUGAAAAAUUGUAAUUCAAGUCCAGUCUGGCUGGCUUCUUGGCAGAGCAUCACGGGUUUGCCUGCUUGGGGGCAGAGGACUAAGGUAAGAGUGAACUCCCAUCUGCUCCCACUGGACAUUUAGGAGCCCAGAGAGGAUGGCUCAGUGCCCCGCAUCCUGCCAAGCGUGUGGGAAAGCCUCGAGGGGCUUUCUCCUCCCGGGCAGAGAGAUUGUGCUGGCUCACGAGCUGCUCUUAUCUGCACCACCUUGCCUGGAACUCUGGUUUGUGGGACCUCCUGUGCUGGGGUAGAGGUCACAUUGACCCUCCCAGGAACACCCCUGCACAUCCCCACACCCACAUGGAAGAGGAACUGUCCCAUCGGUGGUCUUCAUCCAAAGUAGUUAGUCACUAGAUCUUCAAGCAGCCUCUGUGAUGGUGAGUUUGAGGUGUCAGCUCGGCCAGGCUAUAGUAGCCAGUUAUUCAACCAAACGCUGAUCUAGGUGCUGCUGGGAAGGCGUUUUGCAAAUGUGGGUAACACCUGCAAUCGGUUGACUUUAAGUAAAAAUUAUCCUUGAUAAUAUGGUGGGCCUCAUCCGAUCAGUUGAAGGCCUUUAGAGCAGAGCUGGCGUUUCCCUGAGGAAGGAGAAAUUCUGCCUGUG